UCCGAUAACGAUACUCCACACCAUGGGCUAAACGAUAAAGAAAUCAUCCUCACUUUGCUUAUAGGGAAGGAACCCCAAAAAAUAUUUUUUUCUUUUCUUUUUACCACUAUUUGUACGUAAUUAAUUUACGUACCCAUGUCAAUUCUCAGCUCAGCUUUCUAGCUCUGACCAGGCCGGGUCAACUCUCGAACAAAGUUUGGUUAUACCUACGGGGGCUAGACCUGUGGUGUCAUCAUCCAUACGGUUCUACCGUCUGGUUGUUGUAGCAACAUUAUUAUCGUUAGUAGCUCACGCCUGACAUAAUAUUGUGAUAAAUCUAAUACAUUUUUAGAUUUAAAUAUGACUUUAAUAACUGAAUAAAUACUUUUCUUCUACAAAAAUAUAGAGAGACACUCUCGUUGAAUAUUGUUUUAGUAACGUAUGGGUAAGAUUUUCUAAACGAAGUGUGGCAACCCCAAUUUCUUAAUAAAAAAUAAAAAUGUUAUAAAAUGAAAAUGGCGUCAUUUCACCAAAUAUUUUAAAACACAAAUUCACAAAUAAUAAAAUAAAUGUUUGCCACGGCCUGUUAAUAUUUAUGAAGACCUCUUCAUGGAUUGGAUUUAAGCAACCUAAUGUGUAAUAUCCUCGCCAUUCUUGAUGUUGAGAAGAUCUAUAAGUCUUUUACGUUUCAUCUGAGUGUUGUGGUUUUUCAUUAUGUUAAAAAUAAGACUUUGUUAGUUCAAGUGUCUCUAUAACUAUGAAGAAGAACAAAAGAAAAUGCUUUGAGUGUGGUUCUUCGCCUGCCGAUGAUCCAGAGAAGACCCUACAGAGAUUACCGAAACUUGAUUCUAAAAAUUUAGUCUCCGUAAUGUCCAGAUAAUCAAUGAUUAGACCAUUGGACUUUUAGAAUAAAUUUUACAUUGAACUAUGAAUGGUUUGUCAUCUACAUUUUUAAAAAAGACGAGAUGUUUUGCCUGUGAGAAGAAGAGAGAGAGAGAAUAAGAAGCAAUCCUGCUUCUUCACAUGAAUUUUACCCGCAUGACGACGGUUUUUAAUAUAAAAAAUAUUUCCUAGUCUCAAAAAGCAAUCAAAGCUUUGAAAAAUAAACAAUGUUCGCAGAAGUUCAAUACCAACAAACUCACAAAAAAUGAGCCCAAAUUUAGCAUUACUUGCAAGCCAGACUAAGAAAUUUUAAGAAGAUAAUUUAAAAGAAGACAAUAGAAUAAAAUAAUAUUAACACACAAUGCUUAGCAAAUAUAGCAUUAACAGAUGAAAACCAGGCAAUAGGUGUAGCAAAAUAGAAGAUGAAGGUCUAACUGUGCCAGUGCUGAGCCACGCAGUUGCUACUGGCAUGUUUGCAAAAUAGCACAAGGUGUAGCAAAAUAGAAGAUGAAGGUCUAGCUGAGCCAGUGCUGAGCCACACAGUUGCUACUGGCAUGUUUGCAAAAUAGCACAAGGUGUAGCAAAAUAGAAGAUGAAGGUCUAGCUGUGCCAGUGCUGAGCCACACAGUUGCUACUGGCAUGUUUGCAAAAUAGCACAAGGUGUAGCAAAAUAGAAGAUGAAGGUCUAGCUGAGCCAGUGCUGAGCCACGCAUCAUCAUUAUCAGCCUAUUUUAACGACACUACAGGGCCAGACCUUAUAGAAAAGGGGUUAUGGAGCUUAGACCCACCACACUGCUACAAUAAAGGUGCUGUAAAUGAAGAUAUAUUGUUAAAUAUCAUGAGAUAGAAAUAAAAGAUGAAGAUCUAGCUGUACCCAUCCCGAGCCACACUACUGCAGCCACGUUGCUGCUGGCAAUUUUGCAAAAUAGCACAAGGUCACAACAAUUGAUGUAACAAAUAUAAUCAAUGGACCAGGCACCUGCACCAUGAUUCUUUGAAAUACUAAAAUUCGUCUCUUUAUGUCUGUACAUAAUUCUCAUAAUGAAAAAUGUCACGUUUUUAUGAAAGAAAUAAUGGAAUCAAAUAAUAAAUAAAACAAGCAUAUGCUGGAAGUCCUCAGAAACAGCUCCGACUUUGAUGAUUUUUUUUAAAGUCAUGUUUUUUAUGUUAUUUAAAAUCAGAAAUGUUUUGGUGGACGAAAUUAUUUAAAUUGUUAAAAAAUAUCUAUGCUAUUUAUACAUAUUUUUUUUUAAAUACAACCGACUUCAAAAAUACAAACUUAUGCAGAAAACUAACAAACGAAAGAAAAUAUUAUAAUAUUCACUUUGAAGAUCACUUUGAAGGCGGUGCUAAUGGUCCAAUUAAUGUGUCGACAAUUAGUUAUCUAUUGUUUUCCUAGCUAUAGGGUUCGAAUUGCUUUUUCAUAUCUUUAAAAGACUAUCUUCGGAAUGAACCCUUUAUAAUAAAAAAGUAUUAUCAAAAUCGGACCACUCAAUAAAAAGUUAUACUUGGUUGUAUACUAAAAUUAAUGGUUAAACAAUCAAUUAUCCCCUGUUUUCGUAAUGUAAAACCAAGCAUAACUGUUAACAUGAGUAGUCCGAUUUUGAUAAUUGUUUUGAUUGAUCAUUCUUGAUUGUUUUAGUUUAAAACCAAGCAUGUCUUCGAAUUCCGAUUUGAAUAACUUUGUUUUAAAUAGAAAGGGUAUAUUCCGACAAUGGUCCCAAAUCAUUAUAAAUUUAAAAAAACGAAGAUGACUGGUUAUUUUCCCAUUAAUUGUAUUGUAAAACUAUGCGUAACUUAUUACGAAGUGGUCCGAUUUCGUAAAUUCUUUAUAGAUUGUAAAGGUAUUUUGAUUGUAAAGCUCCCAUAUAAAUUUUAAAAAACAAUUCCAAUCCUAAAUGUGCGAUUGAUUGUUUUCUUAUUCAUUUUAAUGUAAAACCAAGCAUAACUUUUUAUUGGGUGGUUCGAUUUUGAUUAUUCAUUUUUUGAUAGAAAGGGUAUAUUCCUAAAAGUCUCAUAAAAUGUUGGAAAACAAUUUCAAACCUAAUAGUAGGAAAAUAGAAGAUGAUUAAUUGUUUUCCCAUUUAUUGUAAUGUUAAACUUAACUUUUUACUGAGUGGACCGAUUUUGAAAAUUCUUUACUUUUUGUAAAGGGUUUAUUUCGAAGUAGGUCCCAUAUAAAUUUCGGAAAACAAUUCGAAUCCUUAAGAUGGAAAAAAACGGUACGAUUGAUUGCCUACCCAUUAAUUGUACAAUUGGCACCGGCUUCAAAGUAAUCAGUAGAUAGAAAAUAUUAUAAUGUUUUCUUCAGCUUAUUAGUUUACUGCAUAACUUUGUGUUUUUGAAGUCAGUAGUGUUUGUUUUUUAAUUAUUUAUUAUAUAAAUAGCAUAACUAUUGUUAAAUAGUAUAAAUCGUUCCAUCCUCAGUCCAAAAGGUUUCUGAUUUCAAAUAAUAUAAAGAAACAAACUGAACAAAAAUAAUCAUCAAAAUCAGAGCUGUUUCUGAGGAGGUAGAGGGUAAAUGCUCUAUUGAUUCGCCUAAAAGUAAUAUUAUGUUAUCGCAUUAGGUUGUAAAGUUUAGCUAAUGAAAGUAGAGAUUGAUAUUGCCCGCCAAAUUUAAAAAUCAUAUAAAUAAAUUAAAAAAACAUGCGUUUUCAUAAUUUAUUUAAAUUAGUUUUUCUUUGUGAAUACAUUAUUACCUUUACUAUAAGUGUUAAACUCAGUUAUUUCAAUAUUUGCACUAUAAUUUUGAGAAUUUACUCCGAUUUUUUAAAAUUUGGCGGGUGAUUUCAGUUUCUACUUUCAUUAGCCAAAUUCUAAUAAUUUUAUUGUUUAUGAAAUUUAUACUAAUUAGAAAGAGGAAGAAUUUGAUUAUUUGUUUGCAUUGAAUAGGUUCUGAAACUACUUUGCUGAUUAAAAAAAUUCUUACAGCAUUAUAAUCAUGGAUUAGGCCAUAAUUGUUAUCUCUGUAUUCCCACGGGAACGAGAACUACAUUGUUGAAACUGCGUGACGUUUGCAUAGUUUAUCAUAUGUACAAAUAUCCCGACAAUCUAUAUUUUUAUGUAUGAAUUGGUUAAGUAAUAAUUGACUUGAUUUUCCCAAAUAUCUCAGUGCAGUCACCCAAUUGAUGCAUAGAUAUAUUUUUAUUUUGGUUUUCAUUUUACUUUAAAGAUAAAAUUUAGUUUUAGAAGCAAAAUGAAUAUAUGUAGAUUAUAUUUUAGGUGCUGAUGUUUACUUAGUUAUUGAUUAAGUGCAUAAGAUUUUUUAUUUGACAAUAAAGACAUUUCAACUUGAAACUGUUA